UUUCUGUAGGUGAACCUGCAGAAGGAUCAUUGGCGAAUCUGACCGGGGAUCUCCCACCCUGUGGGCCCCGACCUCAUCCCACCGCAUCCCAACACCUGUGCACCCGUCGGGGCACGGAGGCCCAGCGCCCGAGAGCCCCGACGCAUCCCGACGCAAACCCCGAGUUCAUCGUAUGUCUGUUCGAAGCUUGCCUCCGGGCACGAAGCGAAACACAACUUUCGACAACGGAUCUCUUGGUUCUC
rnacentral:misc_RNA from 1 species